rnacentral:rRNA from 1 species
CCUACGGGAGGCAGCAGUCGAGAAUCAUUCACAAUGGGGGAAACCCUGAUGGUGCGACGCCGCGUGGGGGAAUGAAGGUCUUCGGAUUGUAAACCCCUGUCAUGUGGGAGCAAAUUAAAAAGAUAGUACCACAAGAGGAAGAGACGGCUAACUCUGUGCCAGCAGCCGCGGUAAUACAGAGGUCUCAAGCGUUGUUCGGAAUCACUGGGCGUAACGCGUGCGGAGGCUGUUUCGUAAGUCGUGUGUGAAAGGCGCGGGCUCAACCCGCGGACGGCACAUGAUACUGCGAGACUAGAGUAAUGGAGGGGGAAGCGGAAUUCUCGGUGUAGCAGUGAAAUGCGUAGAUAUCGAGAGGAACACUCGUGGCGAAGGCGGGUUCCUGGACAUUAACUGACGCUGAGGCACGAAGGCCAGGGGAGCGAAAGGGAUUAGAUACCCCAGUAGUC